AUUGAACGCUGGCGGCAUGCCUUACACAUGCAAGUCGAACGGCAGCACGGGUGCUUGCACCUGGUGGCGAGUGGCGAACGGGUGAGUAAUACAUCGGAACAUGUCCUGUAGUGGGGGAUAGCCCGGCGAAAGCCGGAUUAAUACCGCAUACGAUCUACGGAUGAAAGCGGGGGACCUUCGGGCCUCGCGCUAUAGGGUUGGCCGAUGGCUGAUUAGCUAGUUGGUGGGGUAAAGGCCUACCAAGGCGACGAUCAGUAGCUGGUCUGAGAGGACGACCAGCCACAACGGGACUUGGACACGGCCCCGAAUCCUAAGGGAGGGAGGAGUGGGGAAUUUUGGAACAAGGGGGGAAGGCUUAUCCAGGCAAGGCGGGGGGGGGGAGGAGGCCUUCGGGUUGUAAAGCACUUUUGUCCGGAAAGAAAUCCUUGGCCCUAAUACGGUCGGGGGAUGACGGUACCGGAAGAAUAAGCACCGGCUAACUACGUG
rnacentral:rRNA from 1 species